UGGGGAAUAUUGCACAAUGGGGGAAACCCUGAUGCAGCGACGCCGCGUGAGCGAAGAAGGCUUUCGAAUCGUAAAGCUCUGUCCUAUGAGAAGAUAAUGACGGUAUCAUAGGAGGAAGCCCCGGCUAAAUACGUGCCAGCAGCCGCGGUAAUACGUAUGGGGCGAGCGUUGUCCGGAAUUAUUGGGCGUAAAGGGUACGUAGGCGGUCUAUUAAGUCAGGUGUGAAAGCGUGAGGCUUAACCUCAUUAAGCACUUGAAACUGAUAGACUUGAGUGAAGGAGAGGAAAGCGGAAUUCCUAGUGUAGCGGUGAAAUGCGUAGAUAUUAGGAGGAAUACCGGUGGCGAAGGCGACUUUCUGGACUUUUACUGACGCUCAGGUACGAAAGCGUGGGGAGCAAACAGG
rnacentral:rRNA from 1 species